rnacentral:ncRNA from 1 species
AGUUGUUUAACUAUGGCAAAAAGAAGUUUUUAUUGGUUGAACUGCAUAAAUUAAUUUUAUCUUUUGUAUAUAAGAUUUCUUCAGAGCCUAUUAGCAGUUAGUAUUUUAGCAGAAUUGUUUUUUCUAAGCAAUCAUUAUAAAAAGGGGAUAGCUCACAGUGCCAGCAUCCGCGGUUAUUCUGUUUUCUUUGCUUCUAUAUUGGUUAAGCUUAGGCUUAUAUUAGGGAGGUUAGGUGAAAUUUUCUUCCGAUUAAUAUUAAAGCUUAAUAAAUGCUAGUAAGAUAAAAUUAUAUGACAGGGAUUAGAGACCCCAUUAAUUUUUAUUAUAUUAAUAACUUUGGUUUUGUAACUAAAAUAGUUUGGCAGUGAGUUAUUCCUGUUAGGGGAAGGUGUGUUGUAAAGGACGAUCCGCCCAAUAAAUUACCUGUUUUAUGCUGGUGUAUAUCUGGUUGAAUAUUAUUGUUUAGUGAUUUAAAUUGUGUAAUAUUAUUUAAGCCAAGUCUAUGUGCUGCGUGUACAGGAUUUCAUGCGUUACUGUGAUAGGUAUGAUUAUGUAACUGAAACUAGGUUUAGGACUUAAAAGUAAAACUAAAUAAGGUUGUUAGUUUGAAGAAGGUUUAACUCAGGUACACACCGCCCGUCACCCUCGGUUAUUGUUGAGGUAAGUCGUAACAUGGUAACCCCAAAUGAAUUUGGGGUUAAUUGCAGGUUUAUU